rnacentral:rRNA from 1 species
GGGUAGUUUGACUGGGGCGGUCUCCUCCCAAAGAGUAACGGAGGAGCACGAAGGUUAGCUAAUCCUGGUCGGACAUCAGGAGGUUAGUGCAAUGGCAUAAGCUAGCUUGACUGCGAGCGUGACGGCGCGAGCAGGUGCGAAAGCAGGUCAUAGUGAUCCGGUGGUUCUGAAUGGAAGGGCCAUCGCUCAACGGAUAAAAGGUACUCCGGGGAUAACAGGCUGAUACCGCCCAAGAGUUCAUAUCGACGGCGGUGUUUGGCACCUCGAUGUCGGCUCAUCACAUCCUGGGGCUGAAGUAGGUCCCAAGGGUAUGGCUGUUCGCCAUUUAAAGUGGUACGCGAGCUGGGUUUAGAACGUCGUGAGACAGUUCGGUCCCUAUCUGCCGUGGGCGCUGGAGAAUUGAGGGGGGCUGCUCCUAGUACGAGAGGACCGGAGUGGACGCAUCACUGGUGUUCGGGUUGUCAUGCCAAUGGCAUUGCCCGGUAGCUAAAUGCGGAAGAGAUAAGUGCUGAAAGCAUCUAAGCACGAAACUUGCCCCG